rnacentral:rRNA from 1 species
GGGUUGUGAGGUUAAGCGACUAAGCGUACACGGUGGAUGCCCUGGCAGUCAGAGGCGAUGAAGGACGUGCUAAUCUGCGAUAAGCGUCGGUAAGGUGAUAUGAACCGUUAUAACCGGCGAUUUCCGAAUGGGGAAACCCAGUGUGUUUCGACACACUAUCAUUAACUGAAUCCAUAGGUUAAUGAGGCGAACCGGGGGAACUGAAACAUCUAAGUACCCCGAGGAAAAGAAAUCAACCGAGAUUCCCCCAGUAGCGGCGAGCGAACGGGGAGCAGCCCAGAGCCUGAAUCAGUGUGUGUGUUAGUGGAAGCGUCUGGAAAGGCGCGCGAUACAGGGUGACAGCCCCGUACACAAAAAUGCACAUGCUGUGAGCUCGAUGAGUAGGGCGGGACACGUGGUAUCCUGUCUGAAUAUGGGGGGACCAUCCUCCAAGGCUAAAUACUCCUGACUGACCGAUAGUGAACCAGUACCGUGAGGGAAAGGCGAAAAGAACCCCGGCGAGGGGAGUGAAAAAGAACCUGAAACCGUGUACGUACAAGCAGUGGGAGCACGCUUAGGCGUGUGACUGCGUACCUUUUUGUAUAAUGGGUCAGCGACUUAUAUUCUGUAGCAAGGUUAACCGAAUAGGGGAGCCGAAGGGAAACCGAGUCUUAACUGGGCGUUAAGUUGCAGGGUAUAGACCCGAAACCCGGUGAUCUAGCCAUGGGCAGGUUGAAGGUUGGGUAACACUAACUGGAGGACCGAACCGACUAAUGUUGAAAAAUUAGCGGAUGACUUGUGGCUGGGGGUGAAAGGCCAAUCAAACCGGGAGAUAGCUGGUUCUCCCCGAAAGCUAUUUAGGUAGCGCCUCGUGAAUUCAUCUCCGGGGGUAGAGCACUGUUUCGGCAAGGGGGUCAUCCCGACUUACCAACCCGAUGCAAACUGCGAAUACCGGAGAAUGUUAUCACGGGAGACACACGGCGGGUGCUAACGUCCGUCGUGAAGAGGGAAACAACCCAGACCGCCAGCUAAGGUCCCAAAGUCAUGGUUAAGUGGGAAACGAUGUGGGAAGGCCCAGACAGCCAGGAUGUUGGCUUAGAAGCAGCCAUCAUUUAAAGAAAGCGUAAUAGCUCACUGGUCGAGUCGGCCUGCGCGGAAGAUGUAACGGGGCUAAACCAUGCACCGAAGCUGCGGCAGCGACGCUUAUGCGUUGUUGGGUAGGGGAGCGUUCUGUAAGCCUGUGAAGGUGUACUGUGAGGUAUGCUGGAGGUAUCAGAAGUGCGAAUGCUGACAUAAGUAACGAUAAAGCGGGUGAAAAGCCCGCUCGCCGGAAGACCAAGGGUUCCUGUCCAACGUUAAUCGGGGCAGGGUGAGUCGACCCCUAAGGCGAGGCCGAAAGGCGUAGUCGAUGGGAAACAGGUUAAUAUUCCUGUACUUGGUGUUACUGCGAAGGGGGGACGGAGAAGGCUAUGUUGGCCGGGCGACGGUUGUCCCGGUUUAAGCGUGUAGGCUGGUUUUCCAGGCAAAUCCGGAAAAUCAAGGCUGAGGCGUGAUGACGAGGCACUACGGUGCUGAAGCAACAAAUGCCCUGCUUCCGGGAAAAGCCUCUAAGCAUCAGGUAACAUCAAAUCGUACCCCAAACCGACACAGGUGGUCAGGUAGAGAAUACCAAGGCGCUUGAGAGAACUCGGGUGAAGGAACUAGGCAAAAUGGUGCCGUAACUUCGGGAGAAGGCACGCUGAUAUGUAGGUGAAGUCCCUCGCGGAUGGAGCUGAAAUCAGUCGAAGAUACCAGCUGGCUGCAACUGUUUAUUAAAAACACAGCACUGUGCAAACACGAAAGUGGACGUAUACGGUGUGACGCCUGCCCGGUGCCGGAAGGUUAAUUGAUGGGGUCAGCGCAAGCGAAGCUCUUGAUCGAAGCCCCGGUAAACGGCGGCCGUAACUAUAACGGUCCUAAGGUAGCGAAAUUCCUUGUCGGGUAAGUUCCGACCUGCACGAAUGGCGUAAUGAUGGCCAGGCUGUCUCCACCCGAGACUCAGUGAAAUUGAACUCGCUGUGAAGAUGCAGUGUACCCGCGGCAAGACGGAAAGACCCCGUGAACCUUUACUAUAGCUUGACACUGAACAUUGAGCCUUGAUGUGUAGGAUAGGUGGGAGGCUUUGAAGUGUGGACGCCAGUCUGCAUGGAGCCGACCUUGAAAUACCACCCUUUAAUGUUUGAUGUUCUAACGUUGACCCGUGAUCCGGGUUGCGGACAGUGUCUGGUGGGUAGUUUGACUGGGGCGGUCUCCUCCUAAAGAGUAACGGAGGAGCACGAAGGUUGGCUAAUCCUGGUCGGACAUCAGGAGGUUAGUGCAAUGGCAUAAGCCAGCUUGACUGCGAGCGUGACGGCGCGAGCAGGUGCGAAAGCAGGUCAUAGUGAUCCGGUGGUUCUGAAUGGAAGGGCCAUCGCUCAACGGAUAAAAGGUACUCCGGGGAUAACAGGCUGAUACCGCCCAAGAGUUCAUAUCGACGGCGGUGUUUGGCACCUCGAUGUCGGCUCAUCACAUCCUGGGGCUGAAGUAGGUCCCAAGGGUAUGGCUGUUCGCCAUUUAAAGUGGUACGCGAGCUGGGUUUAGAACGUCGUGAGACAGUUCGGUCCCUAUCUGCCGUGGGCGCUGGAGAACUGAGGGGGGCUGCUCCUAGUACGAGAGGACCGGAGUGGACGCAUCACUGGUGUUCGGGUUGUCAUGCCAAUGGCACUGCCCGGUAGCUAAAUGCGGAAGAGAUAAGUGCUGAAAGCAUCUAAGCACGAAACUUGCCCCGAGAUGAGUUCUCCCUGACCCUUUAAGGGUCCUGAAGGAACGUUGAAGACGACGACGUUGAUAGGCCGGGUGUGUAAGCGCAGCGAUGCGUUGAGCUAACCGGUACUAAUGAACCGUGAGGCUUAACCUUACAACGCCGAAG